rnacentral:rRNA from 1 species
AGUGAACGCUGGCGGUAGGCCCAACACAUGCAAGUCGAACGGCAGCACAGUAAGAGCUUGCUCUUACGGGUGGCGAGUGGCGGACGGGUGAGGAAUACAUCGGAAUCUACUUUUUCGUGGGGGAUAACGUAGGGAAACUUACGCUAAUACCGCAUACGACCUACGGGUGAAAGCAGGGGAUCUUCGGACCUUGCGCGAUUGAAUGAGCCGAUGUCGGAUUAGCUAGUUGGCGGGGUAAGGGCCCACCAAGGCGACGAUCCGUAGCUGGUCUGAGAGGAUGAUCAGCCACACUGGAACUGAGACACGGUCCAGACUCCUACGGGAGGCAGCAGUGGGGAAUAUUGGACAAUGGGCGCAAGCCUGAUCCAGCCAUACCGCGUGGGUGAAGAAGGCCUUCGGGUUGUAAAGCCCUUUUGUUGGGAAAGAAAAGCAGCAGGUUAAUACCCCGCUGUUCUGACGGUACCCAAAGAAUAAGCACCGGCUAACUUCGUG